rnacentral:rRNA from 1 species
AACGAACGCUGGCGGCAGGCUUAACACAUGCAAGUCGAACGGAUGGCUUCGGCCAUCAGUGGCGCACGGGUGAGUAACGCGUGGGAACCUGUCUUUGGGUACGGGACAACCCGGGGAAACUCGGGCUAAUACCGUAUAUCCCCCGAGGGGAAAGGAUUGAUCGCCUGAAGAGGGGCCCGGCGUCCGAUUAGCUGGUUGGUGGGGUAACGGCCUACCAAGGCAUCGAUCGGUAGCUGGUCUGAGAGGANGGCCAGCCACACUGGGACUGAGACACGGCCCAGAUCCUACGGGAGGCAGCAGUGGGGAAUAUUGGACAAUGGGCGGAAGCCUGAUCCAGCCAUGCCGCGUGAGUGAU